rnacentral:rRNA from 1 species
GUUUAAGUCAGUUGUGAAAGUUUGCGGCUCAACCGUAAAAUUGCAGUUGAUACUGGAUAUCUUGAGUGCAGUUGAGGCAGGCGGAAUUCGUGGUGUAGCGGUGAAAUGCUUAGAUAUCACGAAGAACUCCGAUUGCGAAGGCAGCCUGCUAAGCUGCAACUGACAUUGAGGCUCGAAAGUGUGGGUAUCAAACAGGAUUAGAUACCCUGGUAGUCCACACGGUAAACGAUGAAUACUCGCUGUUUGCGAUAUACUGCAAGCGGCCAAGCGAAAGCGUUAAGUAUUCCACCUGGGGAGUACGCCGGCAACGGUGAAACUCAAAGGAAUUGACGGGGGCCCGCACAAGCGGAGGAACAUGUGGUUUAAUUCGAUGAUACGCGAGGAACCUUACCCGGGCUUAAAUUGCAGAUGAAUUACGGUGAAAGCCGUAAGCCGCAAGGCAUCUGUGAAGGUGCUGCAUGGUUGUCGUCAGCUCGUGCCGUGAGGUGUCGGCUUAAGUGCCAUAACGAGCGCAACCCUUGUUGUCAGUUACUAACAGGUUCCGCUGAGGACUCUGACAAGACUGCCAUCGUAAGAUGUGAGGAAGGUGGGGAUGACGUCAAAUCAGCACGGCCCUUACGUCCGGGGCUACACACGUGUUACAAUGGGGGGUACAGAGGGCCGCUACCACGCGAGUGGAUGCCAAUCCCCAAAACCUCUCUCAGUUCGGACUGGAGUCUGCAACCCGACUCCACGAAGCUGGAUUCGCUAGUAAUCGCGCAUCAGCCACGGCGCGGUGAAUACGUUCCCGGGCCUUGUACACACCGCCCGUCAAGCCAUGGGAGCCGGGGGUACCUGAAGUGCGUAACCGCGAGGAGCGCCCUAGGGUAAAACUGGUGACUGGGG